AAUGGUUCGAAGAUUCGGGAGAAGAAUUUUGGAGGGAAUACGACCAUUUGACAAGUACUAAUUGAGCAUCUAGUAGGUACCAGGCACUGUCCUAGGCACAGAGAAUAAUGGAAGUAAAGGCCUUUAUGGAGCUUGCAUUCUAGUGGGAGAGAAGAGACAACAAAGAAAUAAAAAUUUCAGAAAGUGGACCCGGAGGAGGAUGAGGAGGAUCUAGGCUACAUUCCUGCUGACCCUGACACUGCCUUGACCAACUGAUGGACUACCCCUGUCCUCGAGCGUUCUGACUGCCACAGCUUCGGUGGCUACGCUGAGAAGGAUGUCUGGCUCUUGAGAGUCACUUGGACAGCAAGGAGAUCUGACCAGUCAAUCCUAAAGGAAAUCAGUCCUGAAUAUUCAUUGGAAGUUCUGAUACUGAAGCUGAAACUGCAAUACUUUGGCCACCUGAUGCGAAGAACUGACUCAUUUGAAAAGACCCUGAUGUUGGAAAAGAUUGAAGGCAGGAGGAGAAGGGG
ensembl:lncRNA